rfam:Beta vulgaris subsp. vulgaris Bvchr5.sca018.con0048.1, whole genome shotgun sequence.
AGACCAUGAUGGGGACAUUAUCUCUGGCAGUCCUUGAAUCUUUCCCAAGCCUCAUGUAAAGAUUCGUCGUUACCUUGGGUGAAAUUUGCAAUCAGCCUACGCAAUCU